GGACGAACGCUGGCGGCGUGCCUAAUACAUGCAAGUAGAACGCACAGUUUAUACCGUAGCUUGCUACACCAUAGACUGUGAGUUGCGAACGGGUGAGUAACGCGUAGGUAACCUGCCUGGUAGCGGGGGAUAACUAUUGGAAACGAUAGCUAAUACCGCAUAAUAUUAAUUAUUGCAUGAUAAUUAAUUGAAAGGUGCAAUUGCACCACUACCAGAUGGACCUGCGUUGUAUUAGCUAGUAGGUGAGGUAACGGCUCACCUAGGCGACGAUACAUAGCCGACCUGAGAGGGUGAUCGGCCACACUGGGACUGAGACACGGCCCAGACUCCUACGGGAGGCAGCAGUAGGGAAUCUUCGGCAAUGGACGAAAGUCUGACCGAGCAACGCCGCGUGAGUGAAGAAGGUUUUCGGAUCGUAAAGCUCUGUUGUAAGAGAAGAACGGGUGUGAGAGUGGAAAGUUCACACUGUGACGGUAUCUUAACAGAAAGGGACGGCUAACUACGUG
rnacentral:rRNA from 1 species